rnacentral:rRNA from 1 species
UACGUAGGGGGCAAGCGUUAUUCGGAAUCACUGGGCGUAAAGCGUACGUAGGCGGACGAAUAAGUCAGGGGUGAAAGCCUGGAGCUCAACUCCAGAACUGCCUUUGAUACUGUUCGUCUUGAGUCCGGGAGAGGUGAGUGGAACUGCUAGUGUAGAGGUGAAAUUCGUAGAUAUUAGCAAGAACACCAGUGGCGAAGGCGGCUCACUGGCCCGGUACUGACGCUGAGGUACGAAAGCGUGGGGAGCAAACAGG